rnacentral:rRNA from 1 species
CCUACGGGGGGCUGCAGUGGGGAAUAUUGGACAAUGGGCGAAAGCCUGAUCCAGCCAUGCCGCGUGUGUGAAGAAGGCCUUCGGGUUGUAAAGCACUUUCAGUGGGGAAGAAAGCCUUGGGGCUAAUACCCUCGGGGAAGGACAUCACCCACAGAAGAAGCACCGGCUAACUCCGUGCCAGCAGCCGCGGUAAUACGGAGGGUGCGAGCGUUAAUCGGAAUUACUGGGCGUAAAGCGCGCGUAGGCGGUCUGAUAAGCCGGUUGUGAAAGCCCCGGGCUCAACCUGGGAACGGCAUCCGGAACUGUCAGGCUAGAGUGCAGGAGAGGAAGGUAGAAUUCCCGGUGUAGCAGUGAAAUGCGUAGAGAUCGGGAGGAAUACCAGUGGCGAAGGCGGCCUUCUGGACUGACACUGACGCUGAGGUGCGAAAGCGUGGGUAGCAAACAGGAUUAGAUACCCUGGUAGUC